rnacentral:rRNA from 1 species
UACGAGGGGUGCAAGCGUUGCUCGGAAUUAUUGGGCGUAAAGGGUUGGUAGGUGGUCUUGUUUGUCUAGGGUGAAAUCCCAUGGCUUAACUGUGGAAGUGCCCUAGAAACGGCAAGACUAGAGUCCUAGAGGGGUUUGUGGAAUUCCCGGUGUAGCGGUGAAAUGCGUAGAGAUCGGGGAGGAACACCAGCGGCGAAGGCGGCAAACUGGAUAGGCACUGACACUCAACAACGAAAGCGUGGGGAGCAAACAGG